ensembl:piRNA 21ur-1719 ncRNA
UACUUUUGUCGUGAAAAUAUG